UCAAGCUACAAAGAGCACAAGGGGAAUGCCUUGGCACCGAGAGCCGAAGAAGGACGUGACUAACUGCGAUAAGCUGCGGGGAGCCGUAAGUAGGCUUUGAUCCGCAGAUUUCCGAAUGGAGCAAUCCGGCAAGAGGAAAGUCUUGUCAUCAUAUACUGAAUACAUAGGUAUAUGAGGGGAACCGCCUGAACUGAAACAUCUAAGUAGGGCGAGGAAGAGAAAUCAACUGAGAUUCCGUAAGUAGUGGCGAGCGAACGCGGAAGAGGCCAAACCGAGAGUAGUAAUACUUUCGGGGUUCGGACAGAAUACGGCAUUGUAAAGGUUUAGUGGAAUGGAAUGGGAAGUCCAACCGAAGAAGGUGAGAGUCCUGUACACGAAAAGCCUGAACAGCCAUCUGUAUCCAGAGUACCGCCGGACACGUGAAACCCGGUGGGAAUACGGGGGGACCAUCCUCCAAGCCUAAAUACUACUCGGUGACCGAUAGUGAAGAAGUACUGUGAAGGAAAGGUGAAAAGUACCCCUGACGGGGAGUGAAAAAGAACCUGAAACCUUGUGUUUACAAGCACCGAAAGCUCAUCAAAGAGCGAUCGGGUACCUUUUGUAGAAUGGUCCGGCGAGUGAAUGUAACCGGCGAGGUUAAGCACUUAAGGUGUGAAGCCGCAGCGAGAGCAAGUCUGAAUAGGGCGUAUGAAGUCGGUUGUAUUCGACCCGAAACCGGGUGACCUACCCAUGGUCAGGUUGAAGUAAAGGUAAAACUUUAUGGAGGACCGAACCGACUCCCGUUGAAAUGGUAGCGGAUGAACUGUGGGUAGCGGAGAAAUUCCAAUCGAACCCGGAGAUAGCUGGUUCUCUCCGAAAUAGCUUUAGGGCUAGCCUUGAAAUAGAUUACCGGAGGUAAAGCACUGAAUUGGCUAGGGGCCGAGAGGUUACUGAACCUUAUCAAACUAAGAAUGCCGGAUAAUCGUUUUUCAGGAGUCAGACAGUGGGAGAUAAGUUUCAUUGUCAAAAGGGAAACAGCCCAGACCCACAGCUAAGGUCCCCAAGUAUAGUUAAGUGGAAAAGGAUGUGGAAUUGCACAGACAACCAGGAUGUUGGCUUAGAAGCAGCCACUCAUUAAAAGAGUGCGUAAUAGCUCACUGGUCGAGUGACUCUGCGCGGAAAAUAUAACGGGGCUAAGCAUGAAACCGAAGCUUGGGCUUGUCGUAAGACAGGGGUAGGGGAGCGUCGAGUAUGGGGUGAAGUCAGAGCGGAAGCACUGGUGGACUGUACUGGAGUGAGAAUGCCGGAAUGAGUAGCGAGAAUUAUGUGGGAAUCAUAAUGGCCGAAAAUCUAAGGUUUCUUGGGGAAGGUUCGUCCGCCCAAGGUAAGUCGGGAGCUAAGCUCAGGCCGAGAGGCGUAGGCGAUGCACAUACGGUAGAAAUUCCGUAACCACCGAAACUUAAACAGAGGGACACUUCGAAAUAGCGGAACCCGGGCGUUGGUUGACCCGGGCGAAAGGGAGCGAAAUUAGAGUAGCGAAGUCCGCGAUGUUCGGAGGCGAGAAAAGCUCUGAGGUAUGCUAAGGUGCCCGUACCGCAAACCGACACAGGUAGAUGAGGAGAGAAUCCUAAGGCCAACGGGAGAAGGGUUGUUAAGGAACUCGGCAAAUUGACCCCGUAACUUCGGAAGAAGGGGAGCCCCCUACGGGGGGUCGCAGAGAAAUGGCCCAAGCAACUGUUUACCAAAAACACAGGUCUAUGCUAAAUCGAAAGAUGACGUAUAUGGGCUGACGCCUGCCCGGUGCCGGAAGGUUAAGAGGAGAUGUCAGGCAACGAAGCAUUGAAUUUAAGCCCCGGUAAACGGCGGCCGUAACUAUAACGGUCCUAAGGUAGCGAAAUUCCUUGUCAGGUAAGUUCUGACCCGCACGAAUGG
rnacentral:rRNA from 1 species